AGUAAAACAGCCCAUAGUCCCAGUCAUCGACAUAGUAAAAAAAAUCUAUCUCUCAUUUCCCUAUUAGUAAAAUAAACAACUCUCCUCUCCUCUCGUAUGAUCCCCACCAGGCUCCUCGUACACAUCUACCAUUUCUUCCAAUUUGCAACGGGCGAAGGACGGCGUCGCUGUGCCCCAUCAGGAAACUAAUCCUCAUGCUAUCCCAGAUCCAUAUGUCGCUUCUUUUCUCCUGAUUUUUCUUCCUUGGUGGUGGCACAUGUGGCUGUAUGCGCGUGGAUCUCGGCGACCUCGCUGCCCCAAAUUGUCGUAGCCGGAGGCCCUGGAUGCUGGGGCUGCUUAGGCAUUGAGGGAGGUCGCGGAGGAAGAAGUAUCAGCAAGACCACGAAGGGCCACUUUGAGUCGCUUGGUGACAUAAUGAUUUUAGGUAUGUAUACCUUGUCACCGACGUGUGUUCCUGUGAUUAUUUGUGCCUCAA